rnacentral:lncRNA from 1 species
UUUCCCCUCACUUUAGGUUUUGCAUCCCAUACUAGCUAUAGGGUUCAUUUUGCUUGAGUGUCCCCUCUUGAUAAGGGAAACGAGCGAGUGUGGCUACUCGAUAGCCUUAGCACGCUAGUUUCGCCUUCUAAUCAAAGGGAAAAUCAAGUCACGAUUUAGGUCUCCCCGUACCCAAUAUGCAUGAAUUCCCUAGGCUCAUGCAUUCUCAAUCCACUCUAUCAUUACACUUUCACUUUUGUCUCAUUUGCACACAUGCACCCUUUUAUCACUUUCACUUGCACACGAACACUUUUAUCUUCACUCGCACACGAGUACUUUCAUCUACAUUUGCACACCUUCACUCUUAUCUUAUUACUUUUAUCAUUUUUUCACUUCACAUAAACUCACACUUUCACAUGGCAUGCAUUCCACUCAUUUUUCACGUCAUUUAGGUUUAGGUGUGACCUCUCCAAAAGGAUCAUUAUUGGGCUUCACAAUUAAUGUGAUUGGCACCACUCAACCUUUGAAGAGAAAUUUCCCCCAAUCCCCCUAGGUCUAGGGUUUUGCAUUCAUAUAGACAUAUCCAAUAUGCGAUACAUACCAUGGGUAGAAAAAUUAGGAAAAAUUGGUUUAAGUCACGCAACUAGCCUUGGCUAGGUCGAAGGGGUGCC